CUACCCCAAGGUCACCCAGCUGGCAUGUGUUGGAGUGGCAGAGCGGGAAAUCAAACCCGGUUUCUCCAGAUUAGAGUACACCUGCUCUUAACCACUAUGCCACUGCUGCUCCUUAUAAAAGGUUAUACCUCUGGAAUUUGAAUGGGACUCACUUUUUCUGUUUCUAUGCAGCAGCUGCAGGGAACAGAUUUUAAAAAGUCUACAGGGGAGGCAAUUUGGCUCAAGACUAUUGUGUGGGAGGAGGAGGGGCUCCUACCUUCCCCAUCUGCAUCUCUUUCCUGAGCCAAAAUGGCCAUUGAGGGAAUUAUUUGCCUCAUUUUGAAGCUGCAUGGACAGUAUUCCAUACUGCAUUGUAUAAUUUGCAUUAGAACCCAAUGAAGUCAGUGGAGUUACAAAGGUGCAACUUUGCUUAGGAUUUCUCAGAAUAUUGGCUAAGCCUAAUUCUAUUGCAAGACAAAUGAUCUAAUUCUCAUUGGAAGCAAGUUGCUUAUUAUUCUUCUCUAUAUUUUACUAGAAUAAAGGGUGGAAACUAUUACAUGCAAACAGCUUUUAUUUUGUUCUCUUAUAAAUAAAUUAUGUGUAUGUAUCUUUAGAGAAAUCUGAAGGCCUGCCAGAUUUAUCUUUAUACUUACAUCUGUUUCUUUAUAUGUUGUCAAUAUUAUUGCUAGCAGUAUGUCAUUUUUAAGAAUAUGGCCUAAACCUAAACAAACAUAGGUGGUAUUUUCAAUAUUCUCUCAGAGGAAGGCAAGAUAGCGCCAGAUAAAGAUCUUCAGCUGCUCCACUGUUUCAGUUUUUUAAUUGUGUUGUAAAGAUCAUGUGAUUAUCUUAGAUGCUGUAUGUUUUUAAAGCCAUGUUAAUAUCACUGCUUAAGUAACAGAUAUUUGUUGUUUAACAUAAAGAACACAUAUUUGACUAGGUAUUUCACAAAAGGAAGACAUAGCCAUAGAUGUGCUGUAUAUUUGUGCAUAGAAAGGUUUGUUUUCCCCCUAAAGAUUCAGCUCAUGUCUUCUAAAUGGCAUAAUGUACUCAUUAGAGACUCCCAGUUUAACGGACAUUAUAAUCUAUAGCUGUCAUCUUUUUAUUCAAACUCUCCCCACCACCAACAGAGCCCUCGUCCUAGCACCUAAACCACUUCACCAUUGAUUGGUGAGUAUGAUUGUUACCAUGACUUUUCCCUAGAAUUGCAGGAGACACACCCAACUUAUAUAAUGCUCUGUCACAUUGCUUCUUUCCUCACUCAUUAAUGGUUGUCACAAGGAACAUCUCAGAAUGCUCAAAACAGCAGUUACAUCCACGGUACUGCCACACUUUUGAGAUUCAUGCUUAUGUUCACUAAACUUUUGUUUCCUAUUCACACGUUUACAGACUGUAAAAUCUCUUUUCCUACUCUUCUCUAUAAGUGAAAUGAAUCAAGGACAGUGUUCUUGGUUUUAAUGGUCUUCAAGCAAGACAGCACUCUUGUCACUUAACACGCUGGUAAUUUUGUUUUAUUUCAUCAAGUUUUAUUUCACCUGGUUAACAUUCACCAAAUGCCACUCAGGGCCCAAUUAAGAUGUACUGAGGCCCUAAAUGAUGCCAAAAGACCUCAUGGUGGUGAAAAGUACCAUCACACAGCGGCUGACUCCAUAGAUUUUUCAAGGCAAGGGACAAACAGAGGUUGGUUAAGUGGUCCCACACUGCUACCAAAAAUGUAUAAAAUGAGACAUUUAGAAAUAUCUUUAGCAAUAUUUAGGCCUCAUAGUCUGAGCUUCUCACUGUAACUGACUUAAUUCCUGUAUAAAUCCAGCUCUGAUGCUGGUAUUGGAGUAUAUAUGUAUCUAUGCAUGUAUUAUGCACAUUAGUUCAAUUUCUUUUUUGUUUCUACAGCCGAUUAUACAAAGCAACAUUGCAAAUUAAGCUGUGUUGUCAGUUCUUUUUGUAGUGUACUUAACACAGUAUAAUCUGUUAUAUACAACUAAUAAUGACAUAGCUUAAUAAAUCAGAGUGCAUUUUUAAUUUUUUUAGGCAUUGAGCUUUGAUAAACAAUCUGUAUAACAUCUUUAACUCUAUUUUAAAGAAGUCUUGCUUAUUAAUGUAAACAGCACAAGGGUUGGGGCUUGGUAUCUGACACUAAAGAAAAUAUCCUGGGCCAAGCUAUUUCUUAAGAGUGGCUGAUGAAUUCUCAGACUGAUAUGGCUCUAGUAGAGGUGCAUACAGAUUACACAGGAGCUCUUAGUUUUUAAAUGUAAACCAUGCCAUCAUACCAGUGCAUUUUCUCUGAAGGGAAUGGACAUUUUUAGCUGUGAUAUUCAUGUUGAAUAAAUAUGUUGUCUUUU